rnacentral:rRNA from 1 species
GGUUGCGAUCAUACCAUCACUAAUGCACCGGAUCCCAUCAGAACUCCGCAGUUAAGCGUGCUUGGGCGAGAGUAGUAUUAGGAUGGGUGACCCCCUGGGAAGUCCUCGUGUUGCAACCC